ACCCCACAAUUGACGCGGCCUCCUCUAGGCGUGGGGUGGGCAACUACUCCCUGUGGAGUAGGCUAAGCGCGUCU
rnacentral:ribozyme from 1 species